rfam:Cellulophaga algicola DSM 14237, complete genome.
ACAACUACGAGUGGUUAUGUAGAGAAGUCAGCAGAAGUCGUAGUACUUAUGAGAAACGAGUUGCAAAUAGCAAUUGCAUAGGUCUCACGAGUAAGGAAGGAC